rfam:Azoarcus sp. CIB, complete genome.
AAACCCGAGACAUGCCCGCCGCGUCCGUCGGCGACAUGCCUAGGUAGCCCCCGAUCUUCAAGGCUACGGCGCGUCGUUACCGCGCUGAUCGAACCCGUUCGCUUCGCAUCCUUGCCCGCGAACAGCUGCCACGCCUGUGGUGGUGGAUGC